GAUGAACGCUGGCGGCGUGCCUAACACAUGCAAGUCGAGCGAACCCUUCGGGGUGAGCGGCGGACGGGUGAGUAACGCGUGGGUAACCUGCCCUGUACACACGGAUAACAUACCGAAAGGUAUGCUAAUACGAGAUAAUAUAUUUUAAUCGCAUGGUUAAGAUAUCAAAGCUCCGGCGGUACAGGAUGGACCCGCGUCUGAUUAGCUAGUUGGUGAGGUAAUGGCUCACCAAGGCGACGAUCAGUAGCCGACCUGAGAGGGUGAUCGGCCACACUGGAACUGAGACACGGUCCAGACUCCUACGGGAGGCAGCAGUGGGGAAUAUUGCACAAUGGGCGCAAGCCUGAUGCAGCGAUGCCGCGUGAGGGAAGGAGGUUUUAGGAUUGUAAACCUCUGUCUUCAGGGACGAUAAUGACGGUACCUGAGGAGGAAGCUCCGGCUAACUACGUG
rnacentral:rRNA from 1 species